AUUGAACGCUGGCGGCAGGCCUAACACGUGCAAGUCGAGCGGAUGAAGGGAGCUUGCUCCUGGAUUCAGCGGCGGACGGGUGAGUAAUGCCUAGGAAUCUGCCUGGUAGUGGGGGAUAACGUCCGGAAACGGGCGCUAAUACCGCAUACGUCCUGAGGGAGAAAGUGGGGGAUCUUCGGACCUCACGCGAUCAGAUGAGCCUAGGUCGGAUUAGCUAGUUGGUGGGGUAAAGGCCUACCAAGGCGACGAUCCGUAACUGGUCUGAGAGGAUGGUCAGUCACACUGGAACUGAGACACGGUCCAGACUCCUACGGGAGGCAGCAGUGGGGAAUAUUGGACAAUGGGCGAAAGCCUGAUCCAGCCAUGCCGCGUGUGUGAAGAAGGUCUUCGGAUUGUAAAGCACUUUAAGUUGGGAGGAAGGGCAGUAAGUUAAUACCUUGCUGUUUUGACGUUACCAACAGAAUAAGCACCGGCUAACUUCGUG
rnacentral:rRNA from 1 species